GGCCGUUCCGAGGGGUGCUCCGAGGAGGAGCUGAGAUACCGCAAGCUUGGACCCCGCCGCUGGCGGAAAAGUCCGGGACCGCGGUGACCCUUUGAACCUGAUCCGGGUCAUGCCGGCGAAGGGACAGGGAUGUACCAGACGU
rnacentral:ncRNA from 1 species